rnacentral:misc_RNA from 1 species
CCAAACUUGGUCAUUUAGAGGAAGUAAAAGUCGUAACAAGGUUUCCGUAGGUGAACCUGCGGAAGGAUCAUUAGCGUAAAAGCUAAUUAUCGAAAAAAAAAUUUUUUUUUAACACUGUUGAACAUCAAUUUUGAUUGAUUAUUCACGACAAAGUCGUGAAGGAAACUCCCUUAUGAAAUUAAAUUAUUUUUUUAAAUGGAACCAUAAAAUUUUAAAUUAUAAUUACAACUCUUGGCAAUGGAUAUCUUGGCUCUCGCAUCGAUGAAGAACGCAGC